AAUCUGAUUCGAGAAGCUGUUUUCGAGUCUGCCUGCACACUCAGGCGCAGUGGUAACUUAGCAAGUAACUCUGGGUAGGAGAGUGGUGUGCCUGGUCAUUACAUUGUCAUUACGUUACAAACAUCAGUCAGAUGUCCCACACGGGGACUAAAUGAAACAAAGUAAGCAUCGUGUUUCCCGCCAAAACAUGGCCCAGCGGACGACAGCGUCAACCAGUUGAGUCGCUGAUUAAUCCCAACUAUCACGGCCAGAACACCAUGGGACGACUGACGCCGGAACACUCUUUCAAUGAUGAUGUUUGAUGGAACCAUGGCUCACCGUUGUCGACGACACAGACGUCGGUCCAGCCAUCAUCAUCACCAUCAUCAUCAUGGUCACCAUCACCAUGGCCACCAUCACCACGGUCACCAUCACCACGGUCACCAUCACCAUGGUCACCAUCACCACGGUCACCAUCACCAUGGCCACCAUCACGGACACCAUGGACAUCACCAUCACGGAAAAUAGAUAGCAGAAAGUAUGCCGGCAAGUACAGAGUACCUUCAUUAUCUUGCACAGAGGGAGUGGAGGGCACAUCUAUUGACACCUCACCAACAGUGUUUCAGCCUGGCUAUACUGUAAACCCUGCAUACCUCUACUUGAAAAGAGAGAUUCAAUGUAAACCUGCACAAUAAAUCUAAAUUAUCGUAAAA